rnacentral:rRNA from 1 species
GAUGAACGCUGGCGGCGUGCCUAAUACAUGCAAGUCGAGCGAACAGACGAGGAGCUUGCUCCUCUGACGUUAGCGGCGGACGGGUGAGUAACACGUGGAUAACCUACCUAUAAGACUGGGAUAACUUCGGGAAACCGGAGCUAAUACCGGAUAAUAUAUUGAACCGCAUGGUUCAAUAGUGAAAGACGGUUUUGCUGUCACUUAUAGAUGGAUCCGCGCCGCAUUAGCUAGUUGGUAAGGUAACGGCUUACCAAGGCAACGAUGCGUAGCCGACCUGAGAGGGUGAUACGCCACACUGGAACUGAGACACGGUCCAGACUCCUACGGGAGGCAGCAGUAGGGAAUCUUCCGCAAUGGGCGAAAGCCUGCCGGAGCAACGCCGCGUGAGUGAUGAAGGUCUUCGGAUCGUAAAACUCUGUUAUUAGGGAAGAACAAAUGUGUAAGUAACUAUGCACGUCUUGACGGUACCUAAGAAGAAAGCCACGGCUAACUACGU